rnacentral:rRNA from 1 species
CCUACGGGAGGCAGCAGUGGGGAAUAUUGCACAAUGGGGGAAACCCUGAUGCAGCGACGCCGCGUGAGUGAGGAAGGAUUUCGGGAUGUAAAGCUCUAUCAGCAGGGAAGAAAAUGACGGUACCUGAGUAAGAAGCCGCGGCUCACUACGUGCCAGCAGCCGCGGUAAUACGUAGGGGGCAAGAGUUACCCGGAUUUACUGGGUGUAAAGGGAGCGUAGACGGCUAUUCAAGUAAGAAGGGAAAACCCAGGGCUCAACCUUGGGACUGCUUUUGAAACUUCGUAGCUAGAGUGCAGGAGAGGUAGGCGGAAUUCCUCGUGUAGCGGUGAAAUGCGUAGAUAUUAGGAGGAACACCAGUGGCGAAGGCGGCUUACUGGACUGUAACUGACGUUGAGGCUCGAAAGCGUGGGGAGCAAACAGGAUUAGAUACCCCAGUAGUC